UAGUAUGGGGAUCUGCCCGAUAGAGGGGGAUAACUACUGGAAACGGUGGCUAAUACCGCAUAAUGUCUACGGACCAAAGCAGGGGCUCUUCGGACCUUGCACUAUCGGAUGAACCCAUAUGGGAUUAGCUAGUAGGUGGGGUAAAGGCUCACCUAGGCGACGAUCUCUAGCUGGUCUGAGAGGAUGAUCAGCCACACUGGGACUGAGACACAGCCCAG
rnacentral:rRNA from 1 species